rnacentral:rRNA from 1 species
GCAGUAGGGAAUCUUCCGCAAUGGACGAAAGUCUGACGGAGCGACGCCGCGUGAGCGAAGAAGGUCUUCGGAUCGUAAAGCUCUGUUGUUAGGGAAGAAGAAGUACCGUUCGAAUAGGGCGGUACGGUGACGGUACCUAACGAGAAAGCCCCGGCUAACUACGUGCCAGCAGCCGCG